CACGCACUCCCUUUCAUUAUUUUUGCUGUUUCUUUGGUAUUCUAGCUGUAGAUUGUUUCACGCACAUUGUAUAUCAUCUAAAGCUUUUAUACCAAAGCUCCAGCUUAAAUUGCUUAACAACGCACCAACA
rnacentral:precursor_RNA from 15 species